GGCCCCUUAGCCAAGUGGUAAGGCAGUGGAUUGCAAAUCCGCCAUCCCCGGUUCGAAUCCGGGAGGGGCCU
rnacentral:tRNA from 1 species